rnacentral:siRNA from 1 species
GAAUGGUGUAACAAGUCAAGCGC